rnacentral:rRNA from 1 species
UACGUAGGGUGCGAGCGUUAAUCGGAAUUACUGGGCGUAAAGCGUGCGCAGGCGGUUCGACAAGUCCGAUGUGAAAGCCCCGGGCUCAACCUGGGAAUGGCAUUGGAAACUGGCGAGCUUGAGUGUGGCAGAGGGGGGUGGAAUUCCGCGUGUAGCAGUGAAAUGCGUAGAGAUGCGGAGGAACACCGAUGGCGAAGGCAGCCCCCUGGGCUGACACUGACGCUCAGGCACGAAAGCGUAGGGGGCAAACAGG